UAGCAAUAGACUAAGAAACAUAUUUGUUUGUACAAAUGAAUAUCAGGGCACAUUAUGGUUAGAAACUUUACCCCAAGAUGUAAAGAAGUGAUUCUUGAGACAUUUGGUCUCAUUGAGCAAAUAAAGGACCAAAAAAAAAAAAAAAAGCCUUAGAACAGUCUCGAUAUGCAAGACUGCGAUGUGCGAUGUACAGGAAUCUCUUAGGGAGAAAUUCUUGGCCAGAAUUUACAACUUGUUCCCUAUUGCCACAUUGCUUUAUUAAAUUGGUGUAAUGGAGCAUGGAUUUUUUUAUAUUGUCAUAUGCAGUGAUAAUCUAAAAUUCUAGAGCUAUGAUUCAUCUCUGAGGAUGUUUUACUCAUAUUGCAUCUAGCCGCCCCCUACAUUAAACCAAGUGUUUGAGAAGAGUUUCAAGAAAUCUUAACUUCAGAAGGAGUUUUAGGAAGUUCCUAUUGCAAUCUCUGAUUAACGUGGAAAUCCAUUCUCUUGAUAAAUACUUCCACUAACAAAGAGGCCUCUCUUUAAAAGAUUGUCCAUUCCUUUUCUGGAGAGUUCUAAAAGAGGAUAAUCAAAAGGAAAGACCCUUCUUUCACUGGAAUUUAUGUCUUAGUAAGUGUUCAUUUCAGAUAUAUUCACAAGUAAAAAGAGAGUAAACUCUAAGACUCAAAAAUGGGCCAUUUCUAUGAAAUAAGGACACAACAGAUCGAAGCUGAAAGAUUUGAUCAACCUUAUCAAUUGUUGAAAGACAAGUCUUAUAGAAGGAAGCUCGGCCAACUCCAAAACUGACUCCUUUCCAAUGCUUAGUGAUCAUCUGGACACACUUGUGGAAUGUGACAUUUUGGUCUAACACAAGCACAGAAUAACAUGUAGCAUAUACCCAAAUGAAAUGAAUCACUAGCGAACGGAUCCUUAAAGUCUACAAAAACCAACCACAGGGCUGUAAUGAAAGAAAGUGAUGACAGACAAGUUAUAACAUACAGCCAGCCAAAUUCCGAACACAGUAUUUUGGCUGACUAGUCUUGGACAUGGGAAGAAUUAUGCUGUUCAAUUUACAACUUAUUAAAGAGGGAAAGAAGUCAUCGAUACAGAUGGUUGGUUCUAUAUCAAAGAAGACU
rnacentral:lncRNA from 1 species